UUUAGGAUACAUAGCACGUAAAAAGGGUGUGGCUAUAAGUACUGCAAAUAAUGAUCAAGUUGCAGAACUUAGGCGUCAAGUAGCAGAAAUGACUGAUCGGAUACAAAUGCAAGAACGACUCCAUAAAGAAUUCUUGGAAAGACUCGAUAGUAUGCAUAAUGGAUUUCAGUUUACAAAUAGUCAAGUUGAUUCGGAUAACAUGUGAUUAGGCGGAGCAGUGGCAUAAUUUUCAUGAAGAUUAUGAAAUCAAGUUAAUGUUAUUUUUAUUUUUUUAUACAUUUUUAUCUUACUGCAUUUUUUUAGAUAGUUUUUGGUAGAUUUGUUUUUAACAUUUAUUUUUUAUGUUAGACAUAAUUUUUAGUUUCAGUGGAUUAUUGUUUGUUCGA